AGAACCUUUCUGUGCAUCAUAACCAGGUCCUUUUGUUGGAUCAUAGCCGGGUCCUUUGGCUGGAUCAUAACUGGGUCCUUUGGUUGGAUCAUAACUGGGUGCUUUGGAUGCAUCAUAACCAGGUCCUUUGGAUGCCUCAUAACCAGGUCCUCUUGGUAUGUCAUAAGCAGCCCUCAUAGGAGUUCCUGAUUGAGUUGCCGCAUAAGCACUGGUACUUGUAUUAGGCCCAGCACCAACAACACCAGCAGUAGUAGCUGAAGGUGGAGGCCCA
rnacentral:lncRNA from 1 species